rnacentral:lncRNA from 1 species
ACCAAUUGGUUUUUUUGGAUUCAAUUUUAUUGUAAUUAACUAAUGUAAGAUACCAUUCAUAUCCCAAUAGUGGCAUUAUUUUUAAAAGACCAUUGCAAAGGAUACAGAACUAUGAACAAGAUGUUUCCAAUUAAGCAACAAAUCAUUGUCACCAUCAUAUGGGUAGGGCAUUGCAAAUUUUGGUUGUGUGAGGAUAUUUGGCACCAGCAGGCUUUUGAAUGGUUGGAGUUAAGUGGAGACUUUAAAAGAAAAAGUAUCUCAUUUAAUGGCCAAAACACAGCUAUGUCUGAAACUUCUCACAGUGUAGGUUAAAGGAAAGAAGUGGUAGUAGAAGGUGGUUAAGCCUUCCAAACAUCUUUAAAAUAGACACGAUCAGCCCCAGUACCCAAGAGACCUUCAUCAGUGGUAAAACAAAGUCCACGUCCUCCCUGAAGGUGGUCUGCCUUCAAGCACCUCAGAGAAUGAUAUGAAUAUGCAGGCUUGCAUCAUUUUAACUAUUUCCCUGGCCAUGAGAAAUCAUCAUCACUGGAUAAAAGGACCAGUGUUUGGGAGAGCUUUACACAGUCUAUGUAACUAAGUCAAGGAAUUUUAAAGAGGAAUUUUUAUAAGCCCCAAAGGGAAAAAGAGUUCCCUGUAUUGCAGCAGUACAGACACUGUGUUGUGUUCCACGGUGGGGACACCAAGGAUGAAUUCCGUGAAUUCCCUCUUUGUCUCACACAUUUAUGCCAGUUACUUUUUAGGAAUCAGGAUUUUAAAAAAUUUUUAUUGGAGUAUAGUUGCUUCACAAUGUUGUAUUAGCUUCUACUGCACAGCAAAAUGAAUCAGCCAUACAUAUACAUAUAUCCCCUCCCUUUUGGGUUUCCCUCCCAUUUAGGACAUUACAGUGCAUUAAGUAGAGCUCCCUGUUGCUAUGCAGUAUAUUCCCAUCAGUUGUCUAUUUUAUACAUUGUAUCAAUAGUUAUAUAUGUGUCAAUCCCAGUCUCCCAACUCCUCCCACCCCACCCCUUUCCCCCUUGGUAUCCAUACGUUUGUCCUCUACAUCUGUGUCUAUUUCUGCUUGGCAAUUAAGGUCAUCGAUACCAUUUUUCUAGAAGGAAUCAGGAUUUUUUAAAAGCAGAAAACAUUCACUUUCUUAGACAUUGCCAUUACACUUUACAUAAAGUAGGAAUACAGAGAUAACAGCUACUGCAUUGAAAAGGAAUUUGUGUACUUCAUCACCCUCGCAUAGUCCUGAGAGGUGGAAUGGUGGAGCCAGAUUCAGGGCAGAUGGGGGCUUUAACAAGGAGCAGCAGUGAGGGAGCUGCCUCCUUUUAAGUCCCCAAUUAAAUGCCUUUCCCCUUAAGGAAUGUACAUUUUCUAUUCUCCUUUAAUCUGAUUCUUUUUCUCUAACCUGGAAAAGCAGCAUCUUUCUCAAAGUGCACACAUCACCUCUUCAGAGACUCUCUGCCUCUCUGUCCUUCUCUUCUGACUCAAGACACAAAUACACUUCUGCUCUAGUCUAUAGCAGUAGUUUGCAGUAGAAUCAAUGACAUAAAAUGAUUCUUAAGGAAAAAAAGUCCAUACCCUUUUUCUUCUCCUUUCCUUUGGUCUUCUUGACAGAGGAAUCUGCUGAAAUGCUCCAACUCACUGGUUGAGUUUGGGCAAAAGGAGAAGAGAGGAGGUGCUAGAAGGAGGUUACAAAUGGACCUUUGUCUGCCUUGUCGCCCACCUGCCAGGACUGGGGAGAGGAGGGGGGGCGGGAGACAGGGCUGCGAGACCUGCCCCCCAGACGCUUCCAAACCAGGCGAGUGAACCAACAGCUUCUCUACCGAAGUUUGAAAUAGCUUGUCUGGACAGGAACCUCAGGGAGGCGGACUGUUAGAGCAAUAAAAUGUAGGACCUGAGGGAUUUAAAGAGAACACAGAGCUCUUCUUCCCUUAAGAGAAGUAUGUGUGUGUGUGUGUGUGUGUGUGUGUGUGUGACAGAUAAGGACAAAGAGCAGAGAGAUAGAGAAAGCAGAGGAGAGGGAGGGAGGUGGGAGGAAGAAUGGCUACUGUGAUUCAGGAAAGGCUGGCUUUGCACCUCCUCCCCUCUCACAGUUUCUUUGUGUUUUCACCAAGUUUUCCUCACCAUCUAGAUCUCUUAUUUUGACAUUUUGGUAGAAGGUCUAUCCCAUCUCACCAGCUCCUCACGCAAAGGGUCAUUAUCCGUCACUGGAAAGCAAAAAUAAAACGACCAAGAAAGAAAUCUAUUCUGUGCCUCAGAAAUAAAGGCAAGAAAGGAAUUUCACUGUUUUGAGCAAACAGAACUGGAGUUGUAGCAUCUGUUAACUAUCCUUUAGUUGUUGUUUUAAUUCCAUCUGGAGCAGAGUCCCAGGAGUUAGAAAGAAGAUAACAGAGCAAGAUUAUCUAGAUGGAGAACAGGGGGUAAUCCUGGUUGUAUUAACGAGGGCAUGGUGGUGAAGGAGAGGUGAUAACGUGGUUUCCUGUGGCUGGAAUGGGGGCUGGGGGGGGUGGGAGGAGAUAAAACAGGGGAAGAGAAAGGCAAGUUGAUGAAGUACCUCACAUGCUGUGCUAAAAACUGUGGAUUUAUCCUGAAGGUCAAUGGAAAGAUCAUGAAAACCAUCCUUUCUAGGAUGAACCCACUGACUGCAGUGUCAAAGGAGGACGGUGUGGGAGGGAAGAGUCUAGAGGCAGGGAGGACGGUAACCCAGAAGAAAAGAUGGUCAGGAAGCAAAACUGAAAAGAUGUGGUGACCAGUUGGAUUUUCUUUUCUUUUCUUUUUGUCUGUGCCCUGCAGCACGUGGGAUCUUCAUUCCCCGACCAGGGAUUGAACCUAUGCCCCCUGUAUUGGAAGCACAGAGUCUUAACCACUGGACCAUCAGGGAAGUCUCCGCAGUUGGAUCUUUAUGUUUAGGGUACGGGUAGUUGAGAAAAGGGGAGAUUCUGUUAACUUUCGAAGGUUUGGACAUUUGGAUGGAUGAUGCCGUUACUCAUCUCGG